rnacentral:rRNA from 1 species
UACGGAGGGUGCAAGCGUUAAUCGGAAUUACUGGGCGUAAAGCGCGCGUAGGUGGGAAAUUAAGUUGGAUGUGAAAGCCCUGGGCUCAACCUGGGAAUGGCAUCCGAUACUGGUUUUCUAGAGUACAAUAGAGGGGGGUGGAAUUUCCGGUGUAGCGGUGAAAUGCGUAGAGAUCGGAAGGAACAUCAGUGGCGAAGGCGGCCCCCUGGAUUGAUACUGACACUGAGGUGCGAAAGCGUGGGUAGCGAACAGG